rnacentral:lncRNA from 1 species
UAUACACUGUGUAUAUUGCCGCCAAUUUCUCGGCAUUUCCAGCGGUUCAAACGUUUCUUCUGAGUUUCCGUUAUUUGAAAAAGGUGUUUAAUCGCCCGAUCAAUGUAGUGGAAGGGGUGAGUCGGCCAGUGAUGUCGAGAUGAGUGCGAUGCCUACGUGCAUCAACGUUUAGUGGACCUAAAGGACAUCGUCAGCACCGAGAUUUGCCAGCUGGAAACGCAGUGGGGCUACACGCAAUGGAGGCACGCGUACCACUCGUCCUAGACAAAGAAACGUCCUCCGUGCUUCCGACGAACUUCAAUCGGCGCGAAAUUCCUAAACCUCGAGUCACGAGUUCAUUCAGAGUAAAAUAGCAUGGCGAGGAAAAAUCACUGUUCGGGACGAAAAGUGGAGUUCAGCAAUUUAGAUAAAGCCGGCCGUCACAAAAUCAUAUUGUUCUUGUUUUUGCCCUCCUGCCAUGGAUUUCCUCGGCCUCCAAAGCGGGAUGCAGCUGCGACUGCUACUUCUAAAAGUGUGUAAAAGUCAUGAACCUAUCGGACGAUAAGUCGUGAUCUCGAUUAACUUCGCCACGAGGUUGCGAACUUAAUGAAAAUGUUCCUGUCGGUGUUCUUGUCCAUGAUCGGUCCGUUGUUUCUUCGUAUUCAGUUAUUUCAUGUUUGUGAUUUAACUGCUGGGCGGGCAGAAUCCAUGCAAGUGUUUACCCAACAACCUGUUGAAAAACAGGACGGAAUGUGACAUGCCUUGACGCAGGACGGCCGGCGACUGUUGAAGGCAGCUAAAAAUUGUUAUGCGACUUGAAUUGCGAGCGAAUGUGCACCUAUCAAAAUGUUGGCGCAUCAGAAUCUGGUGCGUGAGAGUGCGUGUCAAAAUGUGUUUAUUUGACUGCAUUAGAUUUGUGAUAAAUGUAUUGAUAUGCUACUUGCGAAGAAUAUACAUUAUAUGUGUACGCGA